UCGGCCACGCCUUGCGCCACCGCCCGCCCCGCCGGGAGCGCCCACCGGGAGGCGAGGCGGUGGAGGAGGCGGGAGACCGAAGGGGAACGGAGCGGCUCGGUACGGUACGGCCCGGCCCGGCCCGGCCCGGCCAGGCUGGCGGGGUGCAGGAUCGGGGUGAAGGACCGGGUGUCCCCAGGGUGUGGGGUGCAGGGCAUGUGACGGGGGGUGGGGACGACACACGCGGUUAUGGCUUCUGCUCCCUGAGAGGUGCGGGGUGGCCACGGCCCACGGCUCGGCCCCAGCCCAGAGCCACAGGGACCUGAGAUGAGUGCACAGAGCACCCGUGGGGUUGGACGCACCUAUCCCAGUUUCCUUAGAUGCUGCAAUAAACUGGGGACCAUGAAAGGAGAGAGCGUUUUACAAGGUCAAACCAGAGAUGAGUCCCUGACUACCUGGUGUAAUGGGCCACUUGCUGCUCCCAGACUUUCUGGUUCCCCAAAACACCCCGGCCAGCCCUGAAUCAAUCAAGCCCUGGCCCCGAGACUGGCACUUCAGUCUCACUGAGGGGGAUGCCAAGCCCUGUCCUGCUGUGUUCACCACUGCUGCCCUACAUGCUGGUCUGGUGCAGAAGCAGGUCUGCAGCAUUGCUGUCUGCCAGGAGGUACCAGGCUCCUGGGGCGCAGAUGCUGUAAGAGCUCCCCAGCCUCCUCUCUGCAUGAAUAAACUUCUGGAGCACCCCAGAAACCCAAGCUCCAAGUCAGAUGGCCUGCUGGGGCCAGCCAUGCUGAGUGAUCCCUUUGGAGGAGCACGAGCACGCUGAUCCAUGCUCCUGAUGAAAGCAAUGGGGUUGUGAGCACGGUGGCCAGCCCUGUCCUCAACUGCAACUGAGGAGGACCCGGGACAUGGAUGAGCCCGUUCCUGCCAGGCAAGCGUGGCUCACGGGUGUGAUGCUUGGAGAGAUCAGGCCGGAUUCUGCAAAGCCGUCUGCCUUGUGGAGUCAGUUUUAUUGCAAAGGUCUCUGGGGUUUCGCACACCUCUUGUCCAGGUGCGAGCAGCCAGGCUAAACCUUUCUCUGAACAAGGGGAGCAAGCCCGCAGGCUUUCCUGCCCUGCUCCAGAGCUGCCAGUCCCACAUUACUGCCUCUGGGCCAGAACCUGCUCUUGGCGCGGCCGUACCUGGUCCUGCUGCCCAGCACAGCCGGGCUCUGCCAGAUCUGUCCUGCUGCAGGAGGAGAGCAAGGCGCUGCAAAGGGCUCAGGGGCUGGAGAGGCAGAGAGAUUGAAUCACAAAGCGCUUGUUAA